CUGCAUAGAUUUCUCUCUUGUGCGAUAAAGACUGAACUGGAAAGAUCGAACACCUUCGUGUACCCUUCAAUGCCAUCUCCUUUCGGCAAGCUCAGACCGCGCUUUUCGUCGUCCUAAGACGAACCAGACCCAACUAUUGAUGCUGUUCACGAUGGCACCGCCCCUCCGCCCAAUCGCGUCCGUGGAACAUCGCCACCAUCCUCCCGUGCUCACUGUCCACGGUGCACCGUCGCCCGUCCUUUUUAACUUGAGCAGAGCCCUCCCUUUCCAUUCCUUUCCUCACUUCCCACUCCCUCACAUUUCUUCUCAUAUCCCAGAAACACAGGCGAGCGAAGCUUUGCUUCUUUUCCUUCCUCGUCGAGGCAGAGGCCGAGCUGAGCUGGCCGGGCUCACGUCGUCGUCUUCGUCGCAUUCCAUCCCUUCUCUCUACUUUCUCUUCCUGCAUGUAUCUCUUCUCUCUCUGGCCCUCCUAACACGUCCGUUUUACCUCGCAGAAAACCUUGGCGGCCGUCGCCGUGGAGGCUAGUACGAGCCGUCGCCAUUACGAGCCAUCGUCCAGCUUCUCCGUGUUGUUCUGUCCGUGCACCGUGCCCGCCGUCGUCAACGCUAACGCCCGGCCUCCCGCGAGUCAUACUUGAUGGACGACGUGAACUGCAGUAUCUCCGCGUUGCCUGCUCCAUCGCUAGGCACCUCCGCUAACCGCUUCGUCCGGAGCUACGCCGAACUCGCCUCCGGCCACGUCGUCGACGACCGUAGACCCGUCUGCACGUUCGCGUCGACGCCGGGACUGAUAGUUUUGGCCAAGGAUCAACACACACAUAUACACAUUGGAGAAAAACACACAGAGACUUUUUCAGGCACCGCACCUUCGUGCCUCUUUUCUCUUGUUCUAAACUCUAAACUUAGUACUAAUAACAAGAUUUGUUCCAACAAUCACCUCCCAAAUCUUGCUAUUACUUAUUUCUCCCUUGAAGCAUGUGGUCGUCGAUGUCAUCGGUGCACCUCGCAGAUGGCCGCCAAUGCCAUCUUGUACGCCGAUUGCCGUCGUCGCCAUUGGCCUCGCCGAGAGUCGCACCUCCUACGCCUUCACCGUGAGCGUGCCGCCAUAACACACUCGAUGCCACAUGUUCACCGCUGGUGCCGCACCUCGCCGGUGACUCCCUCCAUGUUGCCGCCGAUGACGCACCUUGUCGACGACUCGGACAUGGACGAUGAACUCUUCAUGGCAAUGGCCUCCACGCCAUGGCCAUCACCUCCUUGCCGCCGGUGACGCAACUUACCGGGCAGCACGCCGUUCUCCUUCGCUCGUGACGCAGCUCGACGACGAUGGAGAGCGGACCUCGACAAACGAGGCUCUGAUACCAAAUGAUAGUUUUGGCCAAGGAUCAACACACACAUAUACACAUUGGAGAAAAACACACAGAGACUUUUUCAGGCACCGCACCUUCGUGCCUCUUUUCUCUUGUUCUAAACUCUAAACUUAGUACUAAUAACAAGAUUUGUUCCAACAGGGACGCCGUCACUGCAUGUGCGCGUCGCCGACUGAGCCGCGCAGCCUCCGCCGAAUCCUUCAGCGGCGACCUCCAUCAUCUUCGACCACCGCCGAUACGAAUGCCACAGAUGAAGAAGAGGAGGAUCAUUUCGAGGAUUUCGAAGAGAAAGUCCAGGGACAAAUAGCCAACCAAGGCAAGCCACCUCUUGAUGCAUCUCUGAUCCUAUAUAUAUUCUUGCUCUUGCAUUAUGACAGGUUUUAUAAA